AACACACGCUCUCACACACACUCACACACACAAUAGCCAUUUUUGCACUCUCCUGCCUUCAAAAUCCACAAUCUCUAUCUCUAUCCAACUUCCGGUUAGUUAUUUUUCGGCCAUGUAACGAAACACGAGCUUUUCUCUGGGCUCUCUACUCCUUCCUCUUUUUUCUCCUCUGUCUAUGCUUCAUAUCAAAUAUAUGGAACGUUAUGGCAAGGAAUUAUUUUUAUUGUUGUUGUUGAUUGGAUAUGAUAGUCUCAGAAUAUAUAAAAGUGAACAAAGAACAGCAGGAAAUAAGUUGGUUCGAUGCCUGGUUUCAAAUCUCAGCUGAAUGCGUCUCAUAUCCCUCAGGUGGUUAAUACUACUGGAGAAAUUUACGAAAGAGGAAACGUUCCAUUUUAUUUUUGUUUUCGAUCGGUACUACUCUUCGAAUCUCGCUGAUAUCGAUUUGAAUAACUAUUGCUUCACAGUUUAUAAAACAAACACCAGUAACAUACUUGGUAUUAUUCUAUGAACCAAAUAAUAUAUUACCUUAAAGAAAGAAAAAAUAAAAAACGCCAUAAUGUCUAGUAAAUAAAUACAAUUUUGAAAAUAUUUCAAUUUUCUUAUUCUCUAAUACACUUGAAUGAAGAACAAAGAUAUAAAUACUUCAAAUCGCCGACAUUUUGAGAAAAAAAGUAUUCCAUUGUUACGUCAUCACAAUUACAUUUAUUUUUGUAUUAACACAAAAGGAAAGAACGGAAGACUUUAAAGUAUAUAUUAUUGCGUUAUAUUGUGUCUGUAAUCGAGAAGUUUUGAGAUAUUCCAUACAUGACGUAAAUUUAGCCUCGCCCACUCCUGGUACUUUUGGCUAUAAAAAGCCGGUUAUUUCUCAUUUCUAUCGAGGAACCGAUAUAGAUCUAAUCUAACUUGAUUAGAACUGGUCUUGCAUAGUCUCGAUCUGAUCUUGAUUGCUGAAGUUAUAUCAGGUCAGUUGACAGAUCAACAGAACACUUGGUAAUAUAUCAGGUAAUUGCAGGAAAAUGGCUGAUUCAAGGAAAUUCACGACAGCACUGGUGACAGCGGUGCAAUGAUGGUAGCGUUAAAACAACGUCGGCUGGAUUCGAACUCACUUCAUUGGUAUCCUACUUUUAUAGGAUUUUAAUAAAUUUGAUAAAAACUCGCAAAUAAAAAAUAAUCAGUAUU